rnacentral:rRNA from 1 species
UACGGGGGGGGGCAAGCGUUGUUCGGAAUUACUGGGCGUAAAGGGCGCGUAGGCGGCCUUCUAAGUCAGACGUGAAAUCCCCCGGCUUAACCUGGGAACUGCGUCUGAUACUGGAGGGCUUGAGUGCGGGAGAGGGAUGUGGAAUUCCAGGUGUAGCGGUGAAAUGCGUAGAUAUCUGGAGGAACACCGGUGGCGAAGGCGGCAUCCUGGACCGACACUGACGCUGAGGCGCGAAAGCUAGGGUAGCAAACGGGG